GUCACUAAAUAAGCUACGCUUCUAAAUAAGCUGAAGCGUAGCUUAUUUAGUGACUCUAGUACAACUCAUCUACGAAAACGACAUCUAUGCUGCCCUCAUAGCUUUUUUUAUUUAAAAAAUCCUAAAGGACAAAGAAAAGCUCCCUGUAUAAUGACAGAUUACGAAACUUAUUUAAAACUGUCUUUAGGAAGCACAAAGAGAAAGGUCUUGUCAAAGAUCUUGAAGUCCAUCCCUCCACAUUCCGCUCUCACCCUGGAUAAGUGGGACAGCCGUUAUAACUCUUGAUCCAACAGCUUCGUGGGCCCAACAUCUCCACUAGCUAGCAGGUCCGAAAGAGAUGUCUCUUUUCUAGUGGAAGCAGUCUCUCCACUAAGGAAGGGACGCAGAGAUAAAGACAGGGUAUCCCUACACCUUCCCAGCUCCUCUCCUUGUACAGUUUGGUGAUCCGCAUCCUGGGUUGCUUCUGCUAUGGGACUUCGCGAUACACAGCUCCUAAUAGGUCGCAGCAGGUGAUCGGAGUUCCCUCUAAUGUAUUGUUUUUCCAAGCAAUUUUAAUAUGUUUCUUUUUUUUUUCUGUGUGUCUUUGCCGAGGAAAUCGAGGUGGACACAGCGGUGAACUUCUUCCGUUAGGUUGGGACCCUGCUGCAAGGAGUGGUUGCCGCUGCUCCUUUUACCUGCAAUGAGCUAAAGACAGCGUCACCAACAGGGAAAACCCAGCUCACCUAGGCUAACCUCUCCUGAAACCCACAAAGAAAGAAGAAAACAAUGAGGAAAGCGGACGUACAGGGAGCAAAGUUCUUUAGCCCUCCGCCUGGAGGUGUUGGAUACCGACCCCCAGGACGUAUGUCUGUCGUCUGCUAAGCGACCUUCUGGGAAGCACUGGGAGUGGAUCAUUCCGAGGUAAACUUCCGCCAUCUCUACUGUUUCCAAGGAAUGCAAGGGAAGAGUCGGCAACAUCGUGUUCUUUGCCAUGCUUAUAUUAUCGACGAAGGCAUCGUGCUGUAACCGGUUGGAGUUCUUAUAGGCCAUGGAAGAGUGCCACCAUGCAGUACAGUGAAGCAAGGAUGCAGUCAGCCUCGAGUGAAGCAGGAAGCUUCGCAGCGUUUCAGAAAUUUUCUAACAGGACUAGUAGAAGUGGAGGAACCACUCUAUGGACCCUGUGGGUUACAGUAAGCACUGUAUUAGCCGGUCUACAAUGUGCACAUUAUACGUGAUAAAAGGUGUCGUGAAGAGGCAGCGCGUUAUGUAUUGGGGUUGUUUCGAAUUCCGAUAAUUUUUUGGGGGUGCACGUUAUACACCGGAA